rnacentral:rRNA from 1 species
UUGCGAUAACGCGUGGGAAUCUACCCUUUGCUACGGAAUAACUCAGAGAAAUUUGUGCUAAUACCGUAUGAUGUCGAAAGACCAAAGAUUUAUCGGCAAAGGACGAGCCCGCGUAGGAUUAGCUAGUUGGUGUGGUAAAGGCGCACCAAGGCGACGAUCCUUAGCUGGUCUGAGAGGAUGAUCAGCCACACUGGGACUGAGACACGGCCCAGACUCCUACGGGAGGCAGCAGUGGGGAAUAUUGGACAAUGGGCGAAAGCCUGAUCCAGCAAUGCCGCGUGAGUGAUGAAGGCCUUAGGGUUGUAAAGCUCUUUUACCAGGGAUGAUAAUGACAGUACCUGGAGAAUAAGCUCCGGCUAACUCCGUGCCAGCAG